rnacentral:tRNA from 1 species
GGUUGCGUAGCUCAGUGGUAGAGCGCCGGUCUUAUAAGCCGAUGCGGUCGCGGGUUCGAAUCCCGCCGCAACCA